rnacentral:rRNA from 1 species
GACGAACGCUGGCGGCGUGCUUAACACAUGCAAGUCGAGCGGAAAGGCCCUUCGGGUACGUCGAGCGGCGAACGGGUGAGUAACACGUGGGCAACCUGCCCUCAGCUCUGGGACAACUCCGGGGAAACCGGGCGUAAUACCGGAUACGACCGCUGCCGGCAUCGGUGGUGGUGGAAAGUUCUUCGCUGAGGAUGGGCCCGCGGCCUAUCAGCUUGUUGGUGGGGUGAUGGCCUACCAAGGCGACGACGGGUAGCCGGCCUGAGAGGGCGACCGGCCACCACUGGACUGAGACACGGCCCAGACUCCUACGGGAGGCGAGCAGGUGGGGAAUAGUUGCGCAAUGGGGCGGAAGCCUGACGCAGCGACGCCGCGUGAGGGAUGAA